CAAGGUAUAGCUCAGUAGUAGAGCGCAUGCUUAGCAUGCACAAGGUCAUGGGUUCGAUCCCCAGUACCUCCA
rnacentral:tRNA from 1 species